AGAACGCUAGCGGGAGGCUCUAAUACAUGCAAGCUCGAACGGUAACAUGGGUAGCAAUACCUGAUGACGAGUGGCGCACGGGUGCGUAACGCGUACACAAUCUGCCUUAUACUGGAGAAUACCCCCAAGAAAUUGGGAUUAACUCUCCAUAACGUUGCGAAAUGGCAUCAUUUUGCAACUAAAACUCCGGUGGUAUAAGAUGAGUGUGCGUCCGAUUAGGUAGUUGGUGGGGUAACGGCUCACCAAGCCAACGAUCGGUAGCUGGUCUGAGAGGACGAUCAGCCACACGGGCACUGAGACACGGGCCCGACUCCUACGGGAGGCAGCAGUAGGGAAUAUUGGACAAUGGGCGCAAGCCUGAUCCAGCCAUCCCGCGUGAAGGAUUAAGGUCCUAUGGAUUGUAAACUUCUUUUCUCUGGGAAUAAAAAGUGGGAUUUAUCCUGCCUUGAAGGUACCAGAGGAAUAAGCACCGGCUAACUCCGUGCCAGCAG
rnacentral:rRNA from 1 species